UGUGUGUGUGUGUGUGUGUGUGUGUGUGUGUGUGUGUGUCUGUAUGUAUGUUUGUUCACGCUGCCCAGUGGUGUUUUUCAGAAUCACUAACCAUUAAACCAGGGGUAGUGAACCUAUGUCUCGAGGGCCCUUGAGGCCGUUUUAUCCGGCCCCUGAUAUCAUUAUAAUGUUUUGCAACUUCACAUGAAAUAGGCCUAUGACAUAUUUUGCAGGCCUAAAGGAAUCUUAGAAAUUACAUUUCCAAUGCAAUUAAGUUAGGCCUAUAUUCAGGGGACCUAGAAAAGGUGGGGACUGUUUUAAAUGUGUCUACCUUUAAAGGUGUCUAUAUGUCUAUAUAGGCCUAAAGGUGUCUAUAUAUGCCUAAAUUUCAUGGGGAAAUCCUGAUUUGUGUUCAUAGUACGGCCCCCGGAGGAUUUUAUGACCAUGGUAGGAAUUUGAAGUGGCCCUUCGAAUGAAAAAGGUUCCCCACCCCUGCAUUAAACCUUUCUUCUAGCCACAGCUCUGCUGUCAGUACAUUUUAUUAUGAUACUAUAAGCUCAGAAAUGAAGUUGAUCGAACAAUUCGAUCGGUGCUAUAAACAUUUAAAUGAACCGAAUAGAAAUCAGAAUAGAAACAUCUGAAUGAUCUUUCUUGGACAUAGCCUACAUUUUGAAGUGACCCUUUGAAUUAAAAAGGUUCCUCACCCCUGCUUUUGAGGAAAAACAUCAAUGUGCUUGGCCACUCUGGUUUUUAAAUUAUUCUGAACUAAAGCAAGGAUUGUUCAAGGAAGUUCAAAACAGACUGUCUCUGGUUAAAUUAGUUCUACACCAAGCCUUUAGGUGGCAGUACAACUAAUUCGCACAAUGCGAAUUCCACACACAAGCCACAAAGAAGCCAUCUACCGCGGUCAACAACACCGACCUAUCUGAACAGAACCACGCGCUGUCUGUGUGGUUUCACUGUUACAAGUUUCUUGGCGACAUGGGGGAAAGUUCCUCACAUACCAACGGAAAAUGGGCUUCACAUACAUGCUGCUGUCUCAUAAUAUGGCGAAGACGAGUCACUUGAAGGCCUAACAGCUCUUAUGAGGAGCAGUCUUGCCAUAGAAGACUGAAAGAAUGAGCUGUAGAAACAACAGGGUGCCUGCUGCAGUAUGACGAGGACGCCCUGAUCAUAGAAGGUCCAGUGUCUUGGCAGGGUGAAAUGGCACUGAUAUCGGUAUGUGGUGAUAUCAGUUAAAAUUAAUGAAUUAAUUCUCAUAUCUGAAUAAUGUGAACACUGGAUUUACCACACACUCACACACACCCUAGUCCUAGAUUAUACAACCAAGGUUACUUUUACCACAGCUCUGGCACUGCAUCAAAUUUCUUUUCUUUUUUAUAGAACUGGACAGGUCAUUUAUUCGUUCCCCUUGUUUUUUGCAGUGUCCUGCAGGAUGCUGUGUCCUGCAAUCCUGUGUGCUGUGCUACAGACGCGUGUGGAGGUCAACCCGAAAUGGGCACAG